rnacentral:rRNA from 1 species
CAAGUUGAGUGGCGAACGGGUGAGUAACACGUGGGUGACCUACCUUCGAGUGGGGGAUAACGUCCCGAAAGGGACGCUAAUACCGCAUAACAUCCUGCCUUUGAACAGGUGGAGAUCAAAGCCGGGGAUCGCAAGACCUGGCGCUUGAUGAGGGGCCCGCGUCCGAUUAGCUAGUUGGUGGGGUAAUGGCCUACCAAGGCGACGAUCGGUAGCCGGCCUGAGAGGGCGGACGGCCACACUGGGACUGAGACACGGCCCAGACUCCUACGGGAGGCAGCAGUGGGGAAUUGUUCGCAGUGGGCGCAAGCCUGACGACGCAACGCCGCGUGGAGGAUGAAGGUCUUCGGAUUGUAAACUCCUGUUGCCCGGGACGAAUGGCUCCAACCUAAUACGUUGGAGUGUGACGGUACCGGGUGAGGAAGCCCCGGCUAACUCUGUGCCAGCAGCCGCGGUAAUACAGAGGGGGCAAGCGUUG